ACUUACUUUUACACUCUAUAUGAAAAACACAAAUCAUACAUGGUGGUGGAAAUAUACAGCUCAACAGCCGUAAAGUCACCCGUAUGUUUAUAUAACAAAAGGUCUGCU
rnacentral:ncRNA from 1 species